rnacentral:lncRNA from 1 species
CUAAAAAAUUACAUAUAUGCGCUUUGACUAAUUGUCAAAUACUAUGUUAAGAAUCCGAAAUAUGGGCCUUACAACACAAACUCAACACGGGCGAAGCACAAGGAAGCCGCGUGAGAAAUAGUCUACCCCAUGUCCCAUACGGCAGCCAUAUGAGAAAUAAUCUGGUCUGUAUCCUAUAUGGCCAGAGCCGAAGCCACGUCAACACUCGGCUAACCAGUGGAUUUUAGACACAUCAUGGAUCAAUAUCCUGCAACAGACUUGUAAUAUCAGAGUCUCUUGUUGUUAAGGGAUUUUCUCGAGUAAAUUCUAUUUUAAGCAUAAUAAUUUUUACGUCAUUAAAUAUUGGCUUACCACUUUUGUAAAGAAUCCCGCGUUGAAAACGCAGCACAGCCCUCUUCACUUUCAUUGCCUGUAUAUAUGUGUUGUAUAUGAUUAUUUUGUGUGUGAAUAAAAAUGUACUUCUUAUAAGCCUAAUUAGAGGAUUGUCACUUUCUCCUCUACAGUAAUUAAUAUAUAUUAUUUACCCUUAU